ACCUGGCUAGCUUAGUCGGUACUGCAUGCGACUCUUAAUCCUAUGAUUGUGGGUUUAAGUCCCACGUUAAGCA
rnacentral:tRNA from 1 species